CUCUUAUCCAGAGAGGCUGAGGGACCGGCCCUGCGAAGCCUCGGCAACCUGUCCCAGCGGACCUACGUCCGAUGGAUGUGGUGCCAACUCCGGCAGAACGUCGUUUCUGGAAGAUGAGAG
rnacentral:ncRNA from 2 species